GAUGAACGCUAGCGGCAGGCCUAAUACAUGCAAGACGAACGGCAAGAUUUUUAGCAAUAAGAAUCCUAGAGUGUCGUAAGGGUGCGUAACACGUAUGCAAUCUGCCCUCAACAGGAGGAUAGCUCCCCGAAAGGGGAAUUAACACUCCAUAAGAUCACAUAAUGGCAUCAUUGAGUGAUUACAACUGAGGUGGUUGAGGAUGAGCAUGCGCAUGAUUAGUUAGGUGGCGGGGUAACGGCCCACCAAGACGAUGAUCAUUAGGGGAACUGAGAGGUUGAUCCCCCACACUGGCACUGAGAUACGGGCCAGACUCCUACGGGAGGCAGCAGUAGGGAAUAUUGGACAAUGGGUGCGAGCCUGAUUCAGCCAUGCCGCGUGCAGGAAGACGGCCUUCUGGGUUGUAAACUGCUUUUGCCAGGGGAUAAAACGUCCAUGCGUGGAUAAUUGAAGGUACCUGGUGAAUAAGCCACGGCUAACUACGUGCCAGCCGCCGCAGUAAAAC
rnacentral:rRNA from 1 species